rnacentral:rRNA from 1 species
GGCAAAUCUCAACUUUAUUAGAAGAGACGCAUUUAUUAGAUAAAAAGCCAAUGCAUGCUUUUACAGUAAUGGAAAUUGGUGAUUUAUAAUAACUUGGCAAUAUCGCAAAGUGAAAACAGGCGAUAAAUCAUGUCAAGUCUUCUCGACCUAUCAGCUUUCGACGGUAUGGUAUUGGCUUACCGUGGCAGUGACGGUUAACGGGGGAUUAGGGUUCGAUUCCGGAGAGGGAGCCUGAGAAACGGCUACCACAUCUAAGGAAGGCAGCAGGCGCGCAAAUUACCCAAUUCUAACAGUUUGAGAGAGGUAGUAACAAGAAAUAACAAUACAAGGCAAUUAAAAUGCUUUGUAAUUGGAAUGAUAGAAAUUUAAACCCUUUUUAAAGUAUCAAUUGGAGGGCAAGUCUGGUGCCAGCAGCCGCGGUAAUUCCAGCUCCAAUAGCGUAUAUUAAAAUUGUUGCAGUUAAAAAGCUCGUAGUUGAAGUUCUGCUAAAAGUAACCGGUCUGCUUUUAAUAAAAGUGGUAUCUUGGUGUGUAUUUAGCAAUGAUGUCCUUUGAAUGUGUUUUUUACUUUAUUGUAAUAAAGCAUAUUCAGGACUUUUACUUUGAGAAAAUUAGAGUGUUUCUAGCAGGCCGACGCUUUGAAUACUGCAGCAUGGAAU